GCGAACGCUGGCGGCAGGCUUAACACAUGCAAGUCGAGCGCCCGUAGCAAUACGGGAGCGGCAGACGGGUGAGUAACACGUGGGAACGUACCCUUUGGUUCGGAACAACACAGGGAAACUUGUGCUAAUACCGGAUAAGCCCUUACGGGGAAAGAUUUAUCGCCGAAGGAUCGGCCCGCGUCUGAUUAGCUAGUUGGUGGGGUAAUGGCCCACCAAGACGACGAUCAGUAGCUGGUCUGAGAGGAUGAUAAGCCACACUGGGACUGAGACACGGCCCAGACUCCUACGGGAGGCAGCAGUGGGGAAUAUUGGACAAUGGGCGCAAGCCUGAUCCAGCCAUGCCGCGUGGGUGAUGAAGGCCCUAGGGUUGUAAAGCCCUUUCGGCGGGGAAGAUAAUGACGGUACCCGCAGAAGAAGCCCAGGCUAACUUCGU
rnacentral:rRNA from 1 species